GUCACUAAAUUGCCCAGGCUGGACUUGAACUUAGGAUCCUCCUGCCUCAGCCUUCCAGUGCUGGGAUGACAGGUGCGCACCGUGCCCAGCUAUUUAAUAGACCUUCAAUCACAGUUUUGCUCCUGUGCUGUCUCUGUUUCCUAGUGACGGCCCAUGAAGACUUCACAGCACUGCUUCUCUGUCAUUUACUACUUGGCCAGUGGCCAGGGGGACCCAGAGGGACCUGGUCCUGUUAAGCAGGGUCUCUGGCCGCAGCCCAGCUGCUCGGGGAGGAGGGAAGUGGCUGCAGUCACUGUCUCCUCCUGGCCAAGGGUCAGGCUGCCGUCCUGGACGCUGGCCAGGCAGAAAGUGCACUCUGCUCUGGUUUCGAGUCCCGGGAAAGGACACCUGUGGGGACUGUGGUGGCCCAGAGGGCAGGGCGUGUCCUUCCCACUGGCCACGGCCCCACACAGGAAUCUGAGCCCUGGUUGCCAUGGAAAUGGAUCACCUUCCAUUGCUAAGUAACCAGAGUCCAGUCUCACAGGUCCUGAGUCCCCAAGGGCUGCGAGCCAGGCAGAGGCGGGGCGCAGCUGGGGGUGAGGACACUGUUGGUGUAUCACCCCUGACCAGGGCCACAGAGCUGGGACUCAACCAGAGCUGGGGAUGGAGCCCAGGACCUCACCCCACUGAACCACACCCAGGCCGCCGGAAGAAGCAUUUCUAACCAGCUCAGCCUCCGCCCACGGCUCAACUCACCCCACCCAAGGUGCCCAAGGACACAGCCCAGCCCCGCUCCCGGCUUACGGCCCAGUGCCCCGUGCCUCACUUGCCCACGUGCACGCCGCCUUGCCCAUGCUGUGCACCCACGGAGCGCCCCGUUCCUGCGCCCUGCGCCCACCCCAAGAGCCCCAUCACCUCCUCUGAGACGCCUCGCCCAGCCCUCCCCAGUCCAGACACUGAUCCGCAGCCCCGCUGUUUUCCUGUGGUCUUUUAUCAACACAGUGGUCAUUUCCAUGAA